CCCUUAGAUGUUCUGGGCAGCACGCGCGCUACAAUGGUCUUCGCAAACGGAUGCAUUCUCGAAGGAGAAUGCCAAUCUUGGAAUCUAUGCCUUGGUCGGGACAGUUGCUUGCAAUUUUUCGACUCGAACCAGGAAUUCCUUGUAAUCGUGAUUCAUCACAUCACGAUGAAUACGUCCCUGCCCUUUGUACACACCGCCCGUCGCUCCUACCGAUCGAAGAGUUAGGUGAAUUGUUUUGAUCGAUAAGAUUUGACUAUGGUCAACUCUCGUUGUGAAAUUCUGUGAAUCUGACUGUUUAGAGGAAGGAAAAGUCGUANCA
rnacentral:rRNA from 1 species